AGCGUCUCUCCGUGGCUCGAGUCGAGAUCGCGCCGCGCGACAGCAGCUUUGUGCCUCCGCAGCUUCAGCUCACGGACUCUGGGUGAACUGGUGCUCAAUCUCCAUCCAUCCCACUGGAGACCUCCUCAGGGUGAUCUCCAUGACCUCCUCCUCCUCCUCACUGCACGGAUACACGAUCAGUUAUCACGGAGAGGACGUCAUUUCGCGCAAAGAUAUCGCGGAAAUCUAAGCGAUGAGUGAGGAAUAUAGACUUGAUGUCGCCGAGACGAAUACCGGCGCCGCACUAACGUUUCAAAUAACUAAUUAAUGUAUGUUAAGUAGCCUGUGCAGUUGCUAAAAUACAUGUGCUACCCUUGCAGAACGCUCGUGGAUGGAUUCGUGCAGUGGCUGGUGAAUUAUUAAUAACCGGGAGCGCUUCACAGUCUGUUCUGUUCACAGAGGAACCAGAACGGCAGCUGGGGGUUUAAGGGAAUUAAAUACGGGCUUGGAGUGAAGCAGGGACGGCAGGGGAUUAUACCGUUCACCGGAGAGAGAAAGAGAGAGAAAGAGAGAGAGAGAGAGAGAGAGAGCGAGAGAGAGAGCGAGAGAGAGAGAGAAGCAGAGAUGGAUGAAGUGUGUGACUUCACUUUUGCAACCACAAUGUUAAAUGGUGACGUCUCGAGCGAUGCACGAAUUCAGGUGUUUAGAGUGAUAUUUCUGUGUCUCCAUUAUUCUUGUCAUGUUAUCAAAUGAGUGCACAAGUAAACACUAUGCACUAAUAGUGCACUGGUGUGAAAGUGUUCAGUCGGCAGGUGAACAGGUGUAGUGCAGUUUGGUCACCGGUCAAUUCUGAUCACUAUUUGAUGAAACAAGACGAUGCAGCAAAAUCUCAAGUGCUGUGAUGAUGAGUAACAAUCUACAUUUCUUUUGAAAUGAGCUACAUUUUAUCCUAUUUAAAAUCAAAUUCUGAUUUUAAUUAUAAAUAACGAUUUAAAAAAAAAAAAAGAUAUUGUUACAUUCAGCUGUAAUUUGUAAAUGCAGACGGGUUUUAAUUAAUUCAACGUGUGCCAGAUGUGUUUGAAGGUAAAAGGUCGUCUUAUUUGGGGGAAUCUUUGUUAAUUACGGCUGUUUUAAUUAAUUCAACAUACAUUGGCUGUAAAACAGAAGAAAGACCUCUAAACGACCCGAAAGAGACACGCGCUGACCUUCAGUGAAGCCCUGAUGCGCGCGCUGUGAUGCAGCUGCCAACUACAUUAUCAAACAAAUCACCUUUCCUAUAAUACAUGCAAAGUAAAAUAAAAAAUAAAUACAAUUAUAAACCCUGCACAUGUAAACAGAAUGUUUUUUUUACUAUAAUGACACAAAAGUCUUUUUUAGCAUUUAUGAUUGUCAUUUUAUAGUUGUUUUUUCUAUUAAUAAUGCGGCAAUUUUACGAAACAAAUGCAUGUAAUUUUUUUCGUUUGUAUCUCAAAAUAGGCCUACAAUAAGGCAGAAAAAUAUACAAUGAACCAAAAUGGUAAAAGAUUAAAUAAAACACCCAAAGGAAGUAGUAUAACGAAAUUAUAUUCAAUAAAUCACAGAAGAAAAUCUAACAAACAAAAUAUUAAGCAGCAAACCAUGCUCAGCAUAUUUUAUCUAAUAUUUUUUUUACAUUAUUUAUUUGGAUUUUGAUUUCGAUUUUAUUUUCUUUAUUUAUCAAGAUUUUCUAUUAUUAGCCUUUAAAUCACUCACCAUUUUAUCUGUUUUUAAACAUUUCUGAAAACAUGCCAAAACUAUUUUCCAUUAAGCCAAUAAAAGUAAUCAAUAAAUAAAUAAAUAAAUACAUUUAUUAUUAUUACUAAUAUUGGUUGCUGCAUUAAAAAUUAAACCACCGUCAGAAACACGAAUGCGAAUCAAAGAUUUCUUUAAAACAUUAUUUGAAUAAAACGUUAAAACGUUUACAGUUGACAAUAUUUCUAAAUAUAAAUAAAUUAAUGUCAAAAUCAAUUUCAUUUUAUAAAAAUAUAUAGCCUACUAAUAAAAUAGGCUAUUUGUGAAUUGCAAACACUGUUUAUAUAUUUUCAUCCUUUCAAAUAAACAGAAUAAUAUUAUUAAACGGUCUAUAAGACAAAUCACUUCGAGCAGCUAUUGCUCUUUCAAUUUACAGUAUUUCUAUAUUUAUUAAUAGGCUAUACGUUUGCGAUGUUAAAAGGUUUUUUAAGUACAAAUAUCAGCUCGGUGAUCUAAUCUGAACAUCUCGGGCAAAGAGGGAAAACCAACAAAUGUGUUACUAUCUCAGUUUAAACGAAAUUAUAUUAUAGAAUGUAAAUAUUAUAUAUGCUUUUAUUACGCUUUAUAUAAGAAUAUUGUAUCUAAUAUUUAAACAAUAGCUAACAGGCAAACUUUUAAAUUAAGAAAUUAAAAAAAAUCGACUGUCCGCAAUGAAAUUAUUCACAUGAGAAUGGAGAAUUUGUCUUGAAUUUUUUUCUUAAAAUAAAUCUGAACACUAUGCACAUGAUGAAUACAAUUAAAUAAAGCGCGGGAACAAAGGCCAGAGACAUGAACACUGACUGAAUUGGUUGUUUAUGAAGCUGUCAUAUUUUCCCAAACAUUUUUGAACGGUAUAUGAUCACAUUAAAUGUUGGACGAAAGGAAAAAGAAACUGAUGCUGCGCAGGUGCUCUUCAAACGAACUGAAGAAGAGCUUCUAACAAGAGAGAGAGAGAAUCCUUAAUGAACAUGACUUAAAAAUAUACAGUGUAGAAAACACACGUGACAGGUUAUUGAUUUCACCGCCGCAAACACUGGAGCAAACAAAAAAAAAGAGGAAGAAAGAUAAUUCGCUAGCUACAUUCAUUAAAACAAAAAUACAAAAAUAAUAUUAAAAAAAAAAGUGUAAUAUAGUUGAAUCUACUUUUUCUUUCUAGCCUUUUUUUCUUGUAUAUACAUAUACAUUAUAUUCACUCACACAAGUGCACACAAAAUAUUCAAAGCAAUAUUACUCACGUGAUCUUUACCCCUAAAGGCCAAAAAUAAAAUUCCUUGCAGUUGUAGUAAUGCAUUUUGAUAAUUUAUAAAAAAAUUGUUUCAUACGAUUAAUUCAAGAGAACAUAUGGCUACUUAGAAAAACAGCCAAAGGUCGACAUACAGUUCACUAAAACAGGUCAAAGUUUAAAACAUUUUACUGUCGGAAAUGAAGACAUCAUAAGACUGAGACUGAAUCCAUCUCAGAAACUGGUUUCUGUGGGUUCAAAAAUCUACCAUAAUAAAAAUAUAAGCUUUACUGAAUUUCACUAGAGGAGCAUGUUAUUUAACCCUGGUUUAUUUUAAGAUCAAGAUGCAUGAUUUAAGAUAAAAUUUAUAAAUAAAUAUCUAAAGUUUCUGAUUUAGACUCUCAAACCUUUUUUUUUUUUAAGGUAGAUAAUGCCUGCUCCGUUCUUCCCUGCAUCACUUCAAACAGGAGGGUCAUUUAUUUUGUGCGGUGCAAACUGAAUUUAGGCUCUGCUGCCUGUUCCUUGGCUUGGCCUUAAUUUCUGACUGUCUGUCUUUAAUUUAGCAGGGCUACUCAGAGCUGAAAAGACUCAGAUUCAGCUAAGCAACGGCCAGGGCCAGGAAUGCUGACCUUGGCGGGUGAACCGGGCCAACGACUGAGCGCAUCAACACUUGGUAGCAGCACAUGGCGGGACAGCUGUUGCAGGCCAAAGUGGGCAUCUGUGCACAGGGAGACAGAGAUACGGAGCGGGCGAGAGGAAGAGGUGCGGACAUCUGUGGCCAGGGAUUGACAAACACUUGGACAGAUGAAGAGAGCCGAGACGAGAAGGAAAAAGAGAGGAAGUUGGACUAGGACAAGGAAGCAGGAUUAUCUGAACAGAUGACAGGGAUGUGCUAGCGAGCGAGAGAAAGCGAUGGCUGGAGGAUUGAAGGAAUUGGAAUAUGUUAAUUACGAUUCUUGCAUUAAAACUAGAAUUGAAUAUAUAAAAGAACCUUUUAUACAGGAUGUAAAGGUCUCCUCUAUUAUGCUGGCAUGUUGAUAUAUGGUUACUAGCUCAAAUAUUGUCCACCAUCAUGAUCUUGUGGUCUCUAAAUGUGGCUCAAUUUCUUUGUUCAAUGCAAAUCUGUUGGGCUUUUUCUCCUGUUUAAUCAUCCACGAAGUGAAAAUCAUAGAAAUAUAACAGCAAACCUCUCAAAAUGAUUUAAACAAUAUUCCCCACAGUAAAGAUUCAUCCUCCGGAGGUUAGGGUUUGGUCAGAUCACAAACCCCAAGUACUGUGUUAGUAAACUGUGUUAGUGGUUCUUUAAGACCUUUAGGUGAAGAACUAUUUCUAGGGGCCAUAAGUGUUUUUGCAUUGAAAAACGCGAGAUGGGAGCACUGAAAUGGAAUUUAAAACAGCAAGGUCUUAAGAUGCGUUUUUAAAAAGUUGCAUUUAUUUUAACAUGAGUGUCUCGUUUUUAAAAUCCGGUCUCAUCUAGCACUUAUAUACAGAAAAACUAUGGAAAAGUAGUGCAGUGAAAUGCAAUAACAAAAUAAAAUGUUGUUUUUUUGGGCAGUGUAAUAA